GUGGGGAAUAUUGGACAAUGGGCGCAAGCCUGAUCCAGCCAUGCCGCGUGAGUGACGAAGGCCUUAGGGUUGUAAAGCUCUUUUGGCGGGGAAGAUAAUGACGGUACCCGCAGAAUAAGCUCCGGCUAACUUCGUGCCAGCAGCCGCGGUAAUACGAAGGGAGCUAGCGUUGUUCGGAAUCACUGGGCGUAAAGCGCACGUAGGCGGAUGUGUCAGUCAGGGGUGAAAUCCCGGAGCUCAACUUCGGAACUGCCUUUGAUACAGCACGUCUUGAGUCCGAUAGAGGUGGGUGGAAUUCCUAGUGUAGAGGUGAAAUUCGUAGAUAUUAGGAAGAACACCGGUGGCGAAGGCGGCCCACUGGAUCGGUACUGACGCUGAGGUGCGAAAGCGUGGGGAGCAAACAGGAUUAGAAACCCGUGUAGUCC
rnacentral:rRNA from 1 species